GCCUACACAUGCAGUCCGAGCGGCAUGACAAGAGCUUGCUCUUCCAUUCAGCGGCGGAGGGGUGAGUAAUACCUAGGAACCUGCCUGGUAAUGGGGGACAACGUUACGAAAGGAGCGCUCAUACCGCAAACCUCCUACGGGACAAAGCAGGGGACCUUCGGACCUUGCGCUAUCAUAUGAGCCUAUGUCGGAUUAGCUAGUUGGUGAGGUAAUGGCUCACCAAGGCUACAAUCCGUAACUGGUCUGAAAGGAUGAUCAGUCACACUGGAACUGAGACACGGUCCAAACUCCUACAGGAGGCCGCAGUGGGGAAUAUUGGACAAUGGGCGAAAGCCUGAUCCACCCAUGCCGCGUGUGUGAAGAAGGUCUUCGGAUUGUAAAGCACUUUAGGUUGGUAGGAAGGGCAGAAAACGAAUACCUUGCUGUUUGGACGUUACCGACAGAAUAAGCACCGGCUAACUCUGUGCCAGCAGCCGCGGUAAUACGGAGGGUGCAAGCGUUAAUCGGAAUUACUGGGCGUAAGCGCGCGGCGUAGCGUGGUUCGUUAAUUUGGAUGUGAAAUCCCACGGGCUACACCCUGGAGAACUCGCAUCCAAGACUGGCGAGCUAGAGUAGGACAGAGGGGGGGUGGGAAUUUUCCGGUGUAGCCGCGUGAAAUGCGUAUAGAUAUCGGGAAGAAAUACCAGAGUGGACGAACGGCGACCACCUGGGCUCUCAUACUGACACUGAGUUGCGAAAGCGUGUGGGAAGCAGACAGGAUUAAAAUACCCAUGAUAUUCUACGGCCGUAAGACGAUGUCAACUAGAUCGAUUGGAAACCUGUGAAGACUUUUAGUGGCCCAUCCUAAAGCCCGUUAAAUUGACCGCCCUGGGAGACUACGGGCGCAGAGGUUAAAACUCAGAUGAAUUCUACCGGGGGACUCCGCCAGAACCCGCUGAAACCAGGUGGGUAUAAUUCGUAAUACACUCCAAAAAACCUUACCAGUCCUUGCCAUCCAAUGAACUUUCCAGAGAUGGAUUGUUGCCUUCGGGAACAUUGAACCAGGUGUGGCAUGGCGUUGUUCAGUUGUUUUCUUGAGAUGUUGGGUUAAGUCCCCAAACGAGCGCAACCCUUUUCUUUAGUUACCACCACUUUAUGUUGGGCAUUUUAAGGAGACGGCCGGGGCCAAACCGGAGGAAGGUGGGGAGGAGGUCAAUUCUUCAUGGCCCUUACGGCCUGGGUUACACACUUGUUCCAAUGGUCGGUAAAGAGGGUCGCCAAGCCGGGAGGCGGAGCUAUUCUCACAAAACCGAUUGUAGUCCGGAUCGCGUUUUGCAAUUGGAUUCCGGGAAGUGGGAAUCGUUGGUAAUCGAGAAUCAGAAUGUCGCGGUGAAUACGUUCCCGGGCCUUGUACACACCGCCCGUCACACCAUGGGAGUGGGUUGCACCAGAAGCAGGUAGUGUAACCUUCGGGAGGGCGGUAC
rnacentral:rRNA from 1 species